AUCAUGGAGAGUUUGAUCCUGGCUCAGAACGAACGCUGGCGGCGCGUCUUAAGCAUGCAAGUCGAGCGGCAAGGGGUAGCGAUACCUCCUAGAGCGGCGGACUGGUGAGUAACGCGUGGGUGACCUACCUUGAGGAUGGGGAUAGCCAUUAGAAAUAGUGGGUAAUACCGAAUAAGCUUAUUGUGCUGUGGCAUGGUAAGGAAAGGAGCUGUGGCUCCGCCUUAAGAUGGGCCCGCGUCCCAUUAUGCUAGUCGGUGGGGUAACGGCCUACCGAGGCGGUGAUGGGUAGCCGGCCUGAGAGGGUGAACGGCCACACUGGGACUGAGAUACGGCCCAGACUCCUACGGGAGGCAGCAGCUAAGAAUAUUCCGCAAUGGACGGAAGUCUGACGGAGCGACG
rnacentral:rRNA from 1 species